UAUGGCGCGAUCAGUCACGUUGACAAGUCGGUCCACACAAAUUCAUCCAUACACAGGACAUUGUCAUCAGCUGUCUGCUUACUUCAAAACAGAAUCUCAGACUGACCUUGCCAGAACAAAAAGGAUGAUGUAUGCUGAGAUGAGAACUAAGGGCUCCUAUGUGAAGGUGACCUGCUUAUAAGGUACUGUAGGAUUGCUCAUUGCUUUUGAUUUCCAGUGUUUUUUCUCUCACAAGACUUUAAUUUGACACCAU